GAAAGAAGAAAAUGAGGUGGAGAAAUCAAUAUACACAGAAUCAAUAUAAGCUCAAAAAUUAACAAUUGAAGUGCAUAAAUUUAACACCUAAAUCAAAGUCCAAAUAUACACCCAACGCCUAUUUACCAUCCUCGCUAAAAGUUCGAGCUAGCGGUUGUAGGAGUUCGAUUUGCAGUUCGGUUGUGGGAGUUGGAUUUGCGGUCCAAAUGACACUUUAAUUACCAGCGGUAAUACUCUCGAACUCACUUUUCACAUCCACCAAUUGCGGUCCUUCUCAUUCGUUUGCUUUGUGGUUUCGUUUUCUGUUUGGGUUGUUUGGGUCCGUUCUGGUUUCUGGGUUUGCUUGAGGAGUAAAAGGGAAG
rnacentral:lncRNA from 1 species